rnacentral:rRNA from 1 species
UACGAAGGGGGCUAGCGUUGUUCGGAAUUACUGGGCGUAAAGCGCAUGUAGGCGGGUCUUUAAGUCAGGGGUGAAAUGCCAAGGCUCAACCUUGGAACUGCCUUUGAUACUGGGGAUCUUGAGUCCGGGAGAGGUGAGUGGAACUGCGAGUGUAGAGGUGAAAUUCGUAGAUAUUCGCAAGAACACCAGUGGCGAAGGCGGCUCACUGGCCCGGAACUGACGCUGAGAUGCGAAAGCGUGGGGAGCAAACAGG